AAAUGACGGUACCUGACUAAGAAGCACCGGCUAAAUACGUGCCAGCAGCCGCGGUAAUACGUAUGGUGCAAGCGUUAUCCGGAUUUACUGGGUGUAAAGGGAGCGCAGGCGGUGCGGCAAGUCUGAUGUGAAAGCCCGGGGCUCAACCCCGGUACUGCAUUGGAAACUGUCGUACUAGAGUGUCGGAGGGGUAAGCGGAAUUCCUAGUGUAGCGGUGAAAUGCGUAGAUAUUAGGAGGAACACCAGUGGCGAAGGCGGCUUACUGGACGAUAACUGACGCUGAGGCUCA
rnacentral:rRNA from 1 species